GGCUUUGUGUGUUAUAAGAGGGCAACUACAGGCCUCUGCUGUUUUUAGAGUUUUAGUCUGAAUUCUGAGGUAAGGCUUUGAAUAGCAGUUUCAGUCAUUGUGGCCUGCUUGCAGAAGUAUAUAUCUUCCAUUGCUGUUAUUACAAUAUAUUUUAUUUAUUUGUUUCAGCGCCAACAACUGCUGAACUACAAGACCUAGAUUUUACACUAACGGAUAUUGAUCUUACCGACAAAGGGUUAAUUGACGAGCGUUACGGUUGUCCGAACCAGCCAAAUCAGAAUGACUUCCACAAAGAGCUAGCGGUGACACAGCCUGGAUCAAGCAGAACGCAAACGUCCCGCGCUGAAAGAUUGUGUCCGAAGCCAUUCAACCCAAGUGUGUUCCACGGAGAGCUAGCGGUGA